rnacentral:rRNA from 1 species
AGUAACAUCCGGAAACGGGUGCUAAUACCGCAUAGUUUUCUUGAUCGCAUGAUUGAGAAGGAAAGACGGCCUUUGUGCUGUCGCUUAUGGAUGGACCCGCGGCGUAUUAGUUAGUUGGUGAGGUAAUGGCUCACCAAGACGAUGAUACGUAGCCGACCUGAGAGGGUGAUCGGCCACAUUGGGACUGAGACACGGCCCAAACUCCUACGGGAGGCAGCAGUAGGGAAUCUUCCGCAAUGGACGAAAGUCUGACGGAGCAACGCCGCGUGAGUGAAGAAGGUUUUUUCCGGAUCGUAAAACUCUGUUGUCAGAGAAGAACAAGUUGGAGAGUAACUGCUCCAGCCUUGACGGUAUCUGACCAGAAAGCCACGGCUAACUACGUGCCAGCCGCUGC